AUGUCUGGCCUUUCCACCAC
rnacentral:misc_RNA from 1 species